ACAAAGGGGGAAAAAUUCCCGCCCAAGAAAAAAAGAAAAAGAGGGAAAAAAAGGGGCAAUAUGUGCGCGUUUCCUCUUUUUCAUUUUCCGCAAUGCUCUAGUCCGUCUGAAGGGGUAUGAAGAACGAAAGGGGCCGAUCUGAAAGAACGAAAAACCCUCGUCCUUGGAUCUCACGAUUUUUGUUCGUCUCUCUACUGCCGACGGGCGUUCUUGACGACGGUCGUUCUACCAACGACGACCGUUCAACCGAAAAACAGAGUAAAAAAUUCCUCCCUCUCUCGAUGGCUGUUCAACCGUCCGUCGAACAUUGCUCCAUCACCGAGCGUUGUUCUUCUUCAAUUUGGUCAAGGUCGCUCUGUCGCCAUCGUUUCAAGCGUUCUUCUUCAGCCGAACGUUCAUUCGUUCCAAACUUCUUCAGUCGAACAUGAAGGUCAAGCGUUGUUCUAUACGCCGUUCUCGACAUGCUUCUUGAGGUUUCGAUCUUUUCAAGCUUCUCUGCAUUUUUCAGCUUCGAUUGGUUCUUCUUCCAGUGUCUUUAUUUUGUUAAAGGCGAGUGGUGGAGAUUUAAUAGUUAGGUUAAAUCUUGUGUUUGCUGAGCUUCUCCCUAUUUUGGAACUGUUGAAGAUUUAAUAGUUAGGCUAAAUCUUGUGGUACGCCCCCUUUUUCUUCUUCCUUCAAUCGCUUUAAAUCAAAUCUAUCACUGCCUUCCUCCACUUUGCCUUCACAUACACCAUUGUUGACUCCCUCUUUAAGUAUGCUUCUUAAACUUUUUGGUUUCUUUUUAAUUUUAUAUAUCAUCUAUUAGCUUUAACCUUGAUUUUGAAUGUUUUUCGAGAAAUUCCAUUCUGUUUUGCUGUGAUGUUAUUAAAAAUGAACUGUAUCUGAAAAUCUUACUCAUCGCAUUCCAAUUGUGUAUUGUUUUCUUUCUUACUAUUUAACUUUAUUUUGCUUCUUACUAUUGUAAUUCUCUUUUAUUAUAUUGAACCUUGCUUUACCUUGAGAGGUUGAGCUUCGGGACAUAAGCCUCAAAAUUCUUUUAAAAGACCUAAAAUUUUCUUCUUUGUAAAUGGUACUUACGGUGUUCUGAAAUCUGCAGGUCUUUACUGGAUACCUGUUAGCUGAAUCUCUCAUUGGACCUGGAGGUUUAAGCUUUGUCAGUGAAAUGUGCAAGUUGAUGAAAGAACAAUUGUACAAAGCCCAAGAAUGUGAUGGCCAAGAAUUGUAUGAAACCCUAUUACCUUUUUAUAACUAAUGGAUAGUAUAGGUUGAUCAUCGUGUUGGAUUACAUGAUAUAUUAGUGACUAUCUUUUGUGAGAAUACUUAACCAUAGAAAUAGCAUCUUGUACAGGGCAUUAUAAAUCUUUUGAGUUGUAUUUUGCGCACGGCAAUAUGUAAGAAUCAUUUUUUGUUACUUGAUUUUUUAUGUAUGAGUCAUGAACCAUAGCAUUUGAAAUAUAUUUUCUUC